GACAGAGGAGCCAAGCGUUGUCCGGACUGACUGGGCGUAAAGCGCCCGCAGGCGGCCGUGCGCGUGGGGUGUGAAAGCUCUCGGCUUAACUGAGAGAGGCCAUCCCAUACGGCACGGCUCGAGCCGUCCAGAGGCCGGUGGAAUUGCCGGUGUAGUGGUGAAAUGCGUAGAUAUCGGGAGGAACACCUGUGGCGAAAGCGGCUCACUGGACCACAACUGACGCUGAGGCGCGAAAGCUAGGGGAGCAAACAGG
rnacentral:rRNA from 1 species